rnacentral:rRNA from 1 species
UGUAUAAUGGGUCAGCGACUUAUAUUCUGUAGCAAGGUUAACCGAAUAGGGGAGCCGAAGGGAAACCGAGUCUUAACUGGGCGUUAAGUUGCAGGGUAUAGACCCGAAACCCGGUGAUCUAGCCAUGGGCAGGUUGAAGGUUGGGUAACACUAACUGGAGGACCGAACCGACUAAUGUUGAAAAAUUAGCGGAUGACUUGUGGCUGGGGGUGAAAGGCCAAUCAAACCGGGAGAUAGCUGGUUCUCCCCGAAAGCUAUUUAGGUAGCGCCUCGUGAAUUCAUCUCCGGGGGUAGAGCACUGUUUCGGCAAGGGGGUCAUCCCGACUUACCAACCCGAUGCAAACUGCGAAUACCGGAGAAUGUUAUCACGGGAGACACACGGCGGGUGCUAACGUCCGUCGUGAAGAGGGAAACAACCCAGACCGCCAGCUAAGGUCCCAAAGUCAUGGUUAAGUGGGAAACGAUGUGGGAAGGCCCAGACAGCCAGGAUGUUGGCUUAGAAGCAGCCAUCAUUUAAAGAAAGCGUAAUAGCUCACUGGUCGAGUCGGCCUGCGCGGAAGAUGUAACGGGGCUAAACCAUGCACCGAAGCUGCGGCAGCGACACUAUGUGUUGUUGGGUAGGGGAGCGUUCUGUAAGCCUGUGAAGGUGGCCUGUGAGGGUUGCUGGAGGUAUCAGAAGUGCGAAUGCUGACAUAAGUAACGAUAAAGCGGGUGAAAAGCCCGCUCGCCGGAAGACCAAGGGUUCCUGUCCAACGUUAAUCGGGGCAGGGUGAGUCGACCCCUAAGGCGAGGCCGAAAGGCGUAGUCGAUGGGAAACAGGUUAAUAUUCCUGUACUUGGUGUUACUGCGAAGGGGGGACGGAGAAGGCUAUGUUGGCCGGGCGACGGUUGUCCCGGUUUAAGCGUGUAGGCUGGUUUUCCAGGCAAAUCCGGAAAAUCAAGGCUGAGGCGUGAUGACGAGGCACUACGGUGCUGAAGCGACAAAUGCCCUGCUUCCAGGAAAAGCCUCUAAGCAUCAGGUAACAUCAAAUCGUACCCCAAACCGACACAGGUGGUCAGGUAGAGAAUACCAAGGCGCUUGAGAGAACUCGGGUGAAGGAACUAGGCAAAAUGGUGCCGUAACUUCGGGAGAAGGCACGCUGAUAUGUAGGUGAAGCGACUUGCUCGUGGAGCUGAAAUCAGUCGAAGAUACCAGCUGGCUGCAACUGUUUAUUAAAAACACAGCACUGUGCAAACACGAAAGUGGACGUAUACGGUGUGACGCCUGCCCGGUGCCGGAAGGUUAAUUGAUGGGGUUAGCGGUAACGCGAAGCUCUUGAUCGAAGCCCCGGUAAACGGCGGCCGUAACUAUAACGGUCCUAAGGUAGCGAAAUUCCUUGUCGGGUAAGUUCCGACCUGCACGAAUGGCGUAAUGAUGGCCAGGCUGUCUCCACCCGAGACUCAGUGAAAUUGAACUCGCUGUGAAGAUGCAGUGUACCCGCGGCAAGACGGAAAGACCCCGUGAACCUUUACUAUAGCUUGACACUGAACAUUGAGCCUUGAUGUGUAGGAUAGGUGGGAGGCUUUGAAGUGUGGACGCCAGUCUGCAUGGAGCCGACCUUGAAAUACCACCCUUUAAUGUUUGAUGUUCUAACGUGGGCCCCUUACCGGGGUUGCGGACAGUGUCUGGUGGGUAGUUUGACUGGGGCGGUCUCCUCCUAAAGAGUAACGGAGGAGCACGAA